UUCAUCUGUUACAGCUUUAGUUACUUUAGUUACUCCGCCACAUUCAUCUGUUACAGCUUUAGUAACUAACAGUAUGGUUACAUUUCCCUACAUUUUAAGAUUAUUGUUUUAUUUAAGAGUCCAUGCAGGGUUUGUCUACAUGUUUUAUUUCCCUACAUUUGUGUUGGAGUUCAUAUUAAAUUAAUAAAGGCUCUCUUUGAAAUUUAAUUUUAAAAUCCUAUGAUAAUGUUGUGACAUGUUUCCCGUUUGUUUGUGCUGUGUUGCAGCUAUUUCAGGAAAUGGGCCGGCUUCAUGAUGAAAUGAAUAUCUGCCGAAGAUUCGAAGAUGGCUUUAAGGUCCUAGUACCCACAGUGCUUAGAUUGACUCAAAGGAAAUCUCCCCUUGCAGAUCUGGCUUUGGAGGAAAGAGAGGCUGCCCUCACCGAAGAUGUCCCUGGGAUUGAUUUCAGAGCUGCAAUCCUGCUGUUGCCGAUCCUGUUCAGGGAGAAAAAUGACAUUCUCGUCAUACUUGGGGAGGUGUGCAAUUUGCGUAUUU